AACCCAUGGUGAGGACACCUUCUCAGUUAGUCUUUGUAUCUCUCCCAUGCAUCGUAAAGAGUCUCUAAGUCCAUCUACACAAACAAAGAGAUAUCAUUACGUAAUUU
rfam:Gossypium hirsutum cultivar TM-1 chromosome 16, whole genome shotgun sequence